rnacentral:lncRNA from 1 species
CGGAGAGAGAGAGAGAGAGGAUGUGUGUCCAUGUCCUGCUGCUGUCGAUCGCCCUGAGCUGCUCAGCUGAAGCUUUCCAAGAUGAUCAGCAAAGCCACCGGCCAGUUGCCAUGACGAUGGACGCCAGCCAGUCUCCGGCGCAGGCCCCUCCCCCUUGUCCGUGCCCCACCCCCGACCUGUCGGCACUGACCCAGGACCGCCAGCAGGAGGCGCAGUGGAGGACGGAGCUGCUGGCUCUGCUCUCCCAGCUGGUCUCAGGUCAGAAGGAGGUGGCAGGAGGCCAGGUGGAGGUGCUCAAGCUGCUGGGCACGCUGGCCAAUCAGGGAUCGCAGCAGAUCCUGGAUCUGCAGAACAUGGCUCGUCAUCAGAGUCUCCUGGUGGAAAACAACCAGGCGCUGCUGCUGCAGACGUCCCGCAUCGCCACCCACCUGCAGGGCGGCGCCAGGAGGCCCGACGGCCAGUGACCUCACAGAUUAUCACAGAUUAUACGGAUAAAUAGAUAAACAAUGGAAUAAACUGUUCUCACCCCGCGAACCAAUGACAUUUCCUGUUUUUAACAAGCUAACCAAUGAGAUUAUCAAUUGUUAACCAGCCAGCCGCUAACAGUUCACUAGCUCGUCAGUGAGAUUAUAAUUUUGGCCAGUGGCGUUAAUCUGCCAGCCAGUGAGAGUGUCUUCCAGCUGGCUGAAGGUGUGUAUUGUGUAAUUCCCUGGGCGUGAUGAGGCCACAUGACGGUAAAAUAUCAUUGCUCCGUGCUCCCUUGGGAGGCCACCUGCCGGAUCUACUUUCCGGUUCAAAUUCAAAGGAAAUACUGAGACGAGAGCCGUUUUCAUUUUCCUCAAAAAAGAAAAAAGAAAAAAGAAAAACAAUAAAAAACAAAAGAAAAACUGCUUUUUUUGCUGUUGGUGCUAAAAGUGUCAUUUUCUUUUGGUUUUAUUUUGUUGCUUUUCUAUGAAAGUCCAGGGGAGCACAGAGCAACCACACACACACACACACACACACACACACACACACAGGGAACUACACACACACACACACACACGCGUGAUGUGUCAUUUCUUUGCCUUGUUGGUUAAAUUUGUUGCUUUGUUCUUCUCAGAUUUGAAAUAAAGACGUGUUGUACAAGCUGCUCAUGCCUGUUCACUGAAUACAGCACAACUACUGACUACUGCA